rnacentral:tRNA from 1 species
AUCUUGUUAGUAUAAGAGGUACGUCUGAUUUCCAAUCAGAAGGAUUAUAUAAUCUAUAAACAAGAUA